CAACUGUCCCCCUUCCUUAUUUUAAAAAGGGUUAUGUUAUAGGCAUAUCUGCAUGCACUUCCAAAAAUGACACAUUUGUGCAAUGAAUAUAAUAUUGACAGCUGCAAAGGAAGACAAAUGACAUAAACAGAAUUCUUCCCUUGAAUCAGGCUACUCUUUGAGUGGAAAAUAGGAUGUGGCCCCCUCAGUGUGUCUGUCAAACAUUUUGGCUCUUCAGAUAAUCUUUGACCGGACCUGACUGUGCUCCUUUCAGUGAAGUAGAGGAUUGGUUUCCAGUUAAGCCUUUGGAAUCCUAGUGCUCAGGAAGAAUAACACCAAGCACUGCAUUUGGGAAAGCUUUAUUAACAACCUGAAAGUGAAAGAAAGAUGUCCUGUUUACUUGGAGACAGACAGAUGAGAAGGAUGGAUGGGGACAAUGCAAAGCCAUCACUAGAAGCAUUGGACCUUACUCCAUUUUUAUUUGCUGCAGCAUCCGGGAUUAAUUUCCACUGGAGCCAGUGAAACAGAGUUUAGUUCCCAAUAUGGGUUUUUGCAUCUGUCCCCUGCAUGGAGGCAGCACUAGCCACCCUAGCUGAGCAUUCUCAAUGUACAGCUGGGUGUCCUGUCAAGAAAGAAAGAGGAGCAGUUGGGACACUAUCAUUUCAGCUGUUUUGAGCUACAGACUGGAACAGAUGGAUCUGUAUGAAAAAUCUAUGCAUCAAAGCAGCCACAGGGCUGCUGUUGCUAUCUGCAGGGGACUGUGUCAGCCUGGAAUCUGUGACAUGAAAAAGGUAGCGCAAAGAAUGCUUGAACUCCUGGGAGGUGCAGGAGAGAUGAUACAACAAGCAGCUAUGCACAGGGAGAGACUGCAAAAGACUUCAAGACUGUUCUUGAAGAUAAGGAAAGAUCCUUUACUCUUAUAUUUCACUUAUUCUGAACUCUUUGUUUUAAACAAGGUUGCAAAAUUUCUUGACAUUCAAAUCAUGGCAUCUGGUCUGUGCUUGUCUGAAUUUUCACUGAGUUUUCUUCAGUUCAAGCCAGGAAGAUAGAUCCCAGAGUUGUUACCACAAUUGCUGAUACUUGGUGCUGAAUUUGCUGAAUCAUGAAGGAAAAAAACAAGAAGUGAGGAGCUCAAGCAUUCAUUUCUGUAGAGAUAUUUGUGACCUGAGGUCACCAAGCCCUUGCCUGUACUGUGCCCAACCCUUUCAAAAAUUCCCAUUUUCAAAGGAAAAAAGCCCAGCCUGUGCCCAUGUCCAUGACAUUUUGGAGGGGCAGAGGUGCUGCUCUGCUCUGCAAGACAGUGUGAAGAUGAAAGCAGUGGAAUGGAGAUGUGCAGGCAAGGAGAGGUACAGUCAUAUUUAAACAGGAAGGAACUGAGGGUGAGACAGUUAAAUUACAGAAACAGGCCCUUCACCUGCCUCCUGAGGGCCUCCACAAACUAUUUCCCUGUGAGUGCUUUGUUGUUCCAGGAUCAUACAGCUCUCACCACCACCACCACCACAUUCCCAAGUCCCAGUGUGAUGCACUGGGAACAUGUCGGUAUUCAAGACCUGUGGGACCCCACCAGCUCCCAGAGCUUCCAGGGCAGUGCCCUGACCUGAGUGGGGACAUUUGGCCCACCAUGCCCAUAAACUCCUUCCAGUGCUGCUUCUUUACCACUGCUUUAAUGAAAGUGAGCUCAGCUUAAGAAAAUAUACUGUAUUGAAUUGUAAAAUUUUAUUGUGUGCCGUGAUUAAACAAAUUUCAAGCAUUGAGUCAUGUGGAGUUUUGUUUUCCUGUUUAACACUAUUGGUAACCAAAGCCAGUUUUUUAUCCAGACCACAUGGUGCAAUAUUCAUAAGAAAA
rnacentral:lncRNA from 1 species